AUGUUUGAGCGGGAGAGGAGCAGGUUUGAGGGAACUCGCCUGGUGGUCUUCCGGGGAACCAGGGGAGGUCGCCAAGGAGGGAAUGGUCGAGAGGAGGUGCAACAUCGCUCUCAACCGUGGCUUCCCUUCGACCCUGGGCUCGUGGGGGACGGAUCAGUGCCACUGUCUCACCAUGGCGGACGGAGAGGGGAGAGGAAGCGCAAGUCCGCCAUGGUGGCGCCACUGCCCACGAUGGCCGCAGAGCCAGUGCCACGAGGCAGGAAGGACGCCGUCAGGCCUAGAUCCAGCGGUGUGGGAUUUCGAAUCCGUUCCCCAGCCACCAUGGAGGAACGGAGGGGGAGACUCCGGAACUUAACCACCCUUCGUCAAAGGGGGAGUGAGGUGGGUGGCCUGGCGCAAUUGUUUUGGACCAUGGCGGUCGGGUUGGGUUAUAAUGAUGCAGCACUGAAGGACUUUUUUAACAAUUGUCUGGAUGACCCUUUGCCUCAAUGGGAGAUGAAGGGGCUGGAGAUCCUAGACUUUUGGGGGUUUACCCGUUACCUGUGCCAUCGUGCUCAGUGGGAUACAUCAACCACACUUGAGUCUCCAGACAAGAUGGCCGCCAGCCCAGCGCCAGAGCACAAGAUGGCCGCCAGCCCAGCGCCAGAGCACAAGAUGGCCGCCAGCCCAGCGCCACAUGAUGCAGCACUGAAAGACUAUUUUAACGAUUGCCUGGAUGACCCUUUGCCCCAAUGGGAGAUGAAGGGGUUGGAGAUCCUGGACUUUUGGGGGUUUACCCAUUACCUGCGCCAUCGUGCUCAGUGGGACGCAGCAACCACACCUGAGUCUCCAGACAAGAGGGCCGCCAGCCCAGCGCCACAGCACGAGAUGGCCGCCAGCCCAGCGCCACAGCACAAGAUGGCAACUAGUUCAGCACCACAGCACAAGAUGGCCGCCAGCCCAGCGCUAUUGCACAGGAUGGCCGCCAGCUCAGCGUGCCCAGCGCCACAGCACAAGAUGGCCGCCAACCCAGCACCACAGCACAGGAUGGUUGACUCAACGCCUGAGUCCUUACCGUCAAGGAGCCACCGGCUCGCCAUCAUAGAGGCUGCAGGAGGAGGAGACUAG
rnacentral:lncRNA from 1 species